rnacentral:tRNA from 1 species
GGAUUGUGGGUCAGUGGUAGAGUGUUUGCUUAGCAUGUGUGAGGCACUGGGUUCAAAACUCAGCACCA